rnacentral:misc_RNA from 1 species
GAAAUGCGAUAAGUAAUGUGAAUUGCAGAAUUCAGUGAAUCAUCGAAUCUUUGAACGCACAUUGCGCCCAUUAGUAUUCUAAUGGGCAUGCCUGUUCGAGCGUCAUUUCAACCCUCAAGCCUUAGUUGCUUGGUGUUGGAGCUUAUCCUGCCGCAAGGCGGGACAACUCCUUAAAUUUAUUGGCGGAGUCGCGGUGACCCCAAGCGCAGUAAUUCCUUUUCUCGCUUUAGGUGUUAACGCUGGCUUCUAGCCAUUAAACCCCCUAAUUUUCUAAUGGUUGACCUCGGAUCAGGUAGGACUACCCGCUGAACUUAAGC